AACGCUGGCGGCGCGCUUAACACAUGCAAGUCGAGCGAGAACCGGGACUUCGGUCCCGGGGACAGCGGCGAACGGGUGAGUAACACGUGGGUAAUCUGCCCUCGGUUCUGGGAUAGCCCGGGGAAACCCGGAUUAAUACCGGAUAGCCUUUCGUGCUUUCGGGCGUGAAAGAAAAGGUAGCUUCGGCUUCUGACCGAGGAUGAGCCCGCGGCGGAUUAGCUUGUUGGUGGGUAACGGCCUACCAAGGCGACGAUCCGUAGCUGGUCUGAGAGGACGAUCAGCCGCACUGGGACUGAGACACGGCCCAGACUCCUACGGGAGGCAGCAGUGGGGAAUCUUGCGCAAUGGGCGAAAGCCUGACGCAGCGACGCCGCGUGGGGGAAGAAGGCCUUCGGGUUGUAAACCUCUUUCAGGUGGGACGAAGCCACUCGGGUGAAUAGCCUAGAGGGUGACGGUACCUCCAGAAGAAGCCCCGGCUAACUACGUGCCAGCAGCCGCAGUAA
rnacentral:rRNA from 1 species